rnacentral:rRNA from 1 species
UACGUAGGGUGCGAGCGUUAAUCGGAAUUACUGGGCGUAAAGCGUGCGCAGGCGGUGAUGUAAGACAGAUGUGAAAUCCCCGGGCUCAACCUGGGAACUGCAUUUGUGACUGCAUCGCUGGAGUGCGGCAGAGGGGGAUGGAAUUCCGCGUGUAGCAGUGAAAUGCGUAGAUAUGCGGAGGAACACCGAUGGCGAAGGCAGCUCGCUGGGACGUUACUGACACUGAGGCGCGAAAGCGUGGGGAGCGAACAGG